rnacentral:pre_miRNA from 1 species
UCAUAUUCGCACUUGACAUAUUUUGGAUUAAAUAAAAUAUGUACACGUGUGGAUAUGGGG